CAGGGGAAACAUCAUGUAUUUCUGAAAAUUCAUACAAAAUCUAUAUAAGGCAAUGGGGGGGCUCUUAGCAGCUGGAAAUGGGUUCUAAGAGUCAGAGACCCUGGCAUCCCAGAUCUGGGGCUGGGAGGGAGCCCUGGAACAUGGACAUCCCAAAAGCAUCUCCCUUUUGGGGUUGUGAGGGUUCAGGGCACGCUGAGCACACCAAUGCUUAUUCCUUUCCCUCCCCAGAGGCCCACUAGUCCAGCCAUGACUUUCGACAGAUGGGGAAACUGAGGAAGGAUGAAGAGCAACUUGCGAAAUGUCUCACUGGUGUGUGGAAGCCGAGCGGCCGCCGCCGCAGCAGCAACAGCAGCAGCAGCAGCAGUAGCAGCAGCAGCAGCAGCAGCAGCAGCAGCAGUAGUAGCAGUAGCAGUAACAGCAGCCUCCGCGCCUCAGGCACCCACCAGCCCGGACCCGAGCCUGCCCUCCUCGCCGCCAAACUUCGACAAGUCUUCCGCCACCAUGCCCAAGACGGUGAGUGCCGGGGCCAGCCACGGGCGGGAGUGGGGGGCAGCAGGCGGAGAGCCGAGCCCCACCAGCCACCCCGACCCUGGCGCCUCCCGCCUGCCCGAGGUCGGCCCAGGCGCCCAGUUCCGCCGCGCCCCCCUCUCCCCCGCCCCCUGCCGCCUGUGGUCGGGGCUGGGCAGGGCGGGAAUGCCCCGCCCUGCGCAGCCGGCAUCCUCCCGCCCGGAGUGCGCUUCCCACGGUCCCAGCUUCCUUUCCCCGCUCCUCUUCGCUGGCAUUCAACAGGCAUCCCUCGGUGCCUCCCAAAGUUUGGGGGAGGGAUGGCCCAUGGCUGCCCUGGGGAAUCGCACUGGAACAACCUCCUUUGGUGGGAGGGGGAAACUGAGGAAAAGCAGGCCCAAUUCACUUGGCGGGGGUCCCAGAGGCAGGAAGUGGAAGGAAGAGCUGGGGUUCAAGAGCUGGCUCCCCAGGCCCCCCCCAAAGUUCAGUCCUCAGUUUAGGGUACCACACUGGGUCUUCCUCGAUUUCUAA
rnacentral:lncRNA from 1 species